rnacentral:snRNA from 1 species
GCAGGGGUUCCUCCUUCCG